CUUCAUCGACUUUUUCUUUCGAUGUUGCAUAUACUAAACGAAGUCGAGAAGUUUCUACGAUUUUGAAUUAUCUUCAACAUUGUUUUCACUCGUACUUGGCAUCCAUAAUGAGAUAAUGGCGAAUGUCAAACAGCGAAAGAAAAAGUGAAUUGUCGGAAAGGCAUUUCAGUCGGGAAGAAAUUUCUACCCCGUUGUCUUUUCUUCUCUGUCAAACAAUGAGUUAUUAACUGGUUGUGUGGUUUUCACAAGAAACAUUGAUCGGCAACUGUAUUUUCGUUUAUGAUGCAACUUCGAAGAAGAAAGAAGGGGAAUAUGCAUCUUGAAUUCGUGGCUAAUACUAUAC